rnacentral:rRNA from 1 species
AUGGUGUUGCUUGACAUUAGGGGUAUGUUGCAGUCUAUGGGUAAAGACAUUAUUGAUUUCGAUCUUCCAACGAUCAAUGAUGCGUUUGACCCAACCGAGGGAGAGGCUAGAGAGAUCAUCGAGGAAUCAACUGUUGAGUUUGACGAAAGUGACACUAAAUUGGCAUCUUCCCUGAAUUUUGAGCAAAGGGUUGCAUACGACGAGAUACUAGCGGCUGUUGAACACGGUGAUGGGGGUAUAUUCUUUGUUGAUGGCCCUGGAGGUACGGGGAAGACCUUCCUCUACAGGGUGAUGCUCGCCAAGGUGAGGAGCGAUGGCAAGAUUGCUAUCGCUACCUCGAUGCCGGGCGUCGCUGCUUCUAUCAUGCCUAGCGGCAGGACUGCCCACUCGAGGUUCAAAAUCCCAUUGAGUUGCGAUGAUGGAGCCUCGUGCAGCUUCACCAAGCAGAGUGGAACCGCCAAGCUGCUAAGGAUGGCCUCAUUGAUACUAUGGGACGAGGCCAGCAUGACUAAGCGACAAGCGGUUGAGGCAUUAGACAAUAGCAUGCGCGACAUCAUGGGAAUACGCGACCGACCCUUUGGAGGAAAGACUGUUGUUUUUGGUGGGGACUUUAGGCAGGUGCUUCCGGUCGUUAGAAGGGGGUCAUGGGGCCAGAUAAUUGAUGCAAGCCUCCGAAGUUCUCAUCUAUGGAAGAGUAUGCGGCAGCUUCGGCUCAUCACCAACAUGAGGGCUCAUAAUGACACGUGGUUUGCAGAUUACUUGCCCAGGGUCGGUAAUGGUACAGAGGAAGCCGACGAUCAAGGCAACAUACUACUCCCUGAUGAUAUUUGUCUACCAUCUAAAGGCGAGGUUGACGACCUGGAGAAGCUGAUCAACCACGUGUUUCCGAGUCUAGAUGACAACAUGGCAGAUUCGAGUUACAUGACAUCUCGCGCAAUCCUUUCCACGACAAAUGACAACGUCGACGAGAUAAACAUCCGCAUGAUAGAGCGUUUCCACGGAGAUGAAGUAAUCUACCAUAGCUUUGACAGUGCGGAGGACGACCCACAUGGCUACUGCGCUCCUGAGUUUCUGAACGGAUUGACUCCCAAUGGUCUUCCUCCACAUGCACUCAAACUAAAGCUGAACUGCCCGGUUAUACUUCUAAGGAACAUUGAUCCAGCUAAUGGGUUGUGUAACGGGACUAGGCUUGUUGUUAGAGGUUUUGAGAGGAACACCAUUGAUGCAGAAAUCGUUAUUGGACAACACGCUGGUAGGAGGGUCUUCCUUCAAUACCUAUGUGCCCAUCUGACAACGACAUGUUUCCAUUCAAGUUUAAGAGGAAGCAAUUUCCUAUAA